rnacentral:rRNA from 1 species
CCUACGGGGGGCAGCAGUGAGGAAUAUUGGUCAAUGGACGAGAGUCUGAACCAGCCAAGUAGCGUGAAGGAUGACUGCCCUAUGGGUUGUAAACUUCUUUUAUAUGGGAAUAAAAUGUUCCACGUGUGGGAUUUUGUAUGUACCAUAUGAAUAAGGAUCGGCUAACUCCGUGCCAGCAGCCGCGGUAAUACGGAGGAUCCGAGCGUUAUCCGGAUUUAUUGGGUUUAAAGGGAGCGUAGGUGGAUUGUUAAGUCAGUUGUGAAAGUUUGCGGCUCAACCGUAAAAUUGCAGUUGAAACUGGCAGUCUUGAGUACAGUAGAGGUGGGCGGAAUUCGUGGUGUAGCGGUGAAAGGCUUAGAUAUCACGAAGAACUCCGAUUGCGAAGGCAGCUCACUGGACUGCAACUGACACUGAGGCUCGAAAGUGUGGGUAUCAAACAGGAUUAGAUACCCGAGUAGUC